rnacentral:rRNA from 1 species
UACGUAGGGUGCGAGCGUUAAUCGGAAUUACUGGGCGUAAAGAGCGCGCAGGCGGUUUGUUAAGUCCGAGGUGAAAUCUCCCGGCUCAACUGGGAGGGGUCUUCGGAUACUGGCCGACUUGAGGAGAGCAGAGGUGAGUGGAAUUCUCGGUGUAGUGGUGAAAUGCGUAGAUAUCGAGAGGAACACCAGCGGCGAAGGCGGCUCACUGGGCUCCACCUGACGCUGAGGCGCGAAAGCGUGGGGAGCGAACCGG